UACGUAGGGGGCGAGCGUUGUCCGGAUUUAUUGGGCGUAAAGAGCGUGUAGGCGGCCAGGUAGGUCUGAUGUGAAAGCCCACGGCUCAACCGUGGAGGGUCAUUGGAAACUGGGGAACUUGAGUGCAGAAGAGAAAAGCGGAAUUCCACGUGUAGCGGUGAAAUGCGUAGAGAUGUGGAGGAACACCAGUGGCGAAGGCGGCUUUUUGGUCUGUAACUGACGCUGAGGCGCGAAAGCGUGGGGAGCAAGCAGG
rnacentral:rRNA from 1 species